rnacentral:lncRNA from 1 species
UAACAUGCUAUUAUUUAUUUUAAAAAAAAAAAAUAAAUUCAGCUAAAAAUAUAAAACCACUAAGAUUUAAACUUGAGAUUUUGAAUACUAAUUAUCUAAUUUUUUGCCAUUUGUGCUAAGAACGGUCCGUGCGUAAAUUUAAUUGUUAGUUACAGUGCAUCUUUCGUAUAUUAACUUCUCAUAUUUUCAGAUAAGUCAUGCUUCAAUACAUCAUAUAAAUCUUGACCAUUUAUUUUUCUUAAUAGAUGGUUUAUAUUUAAUAUGACUCUAGAGAUGACAUACUAUUGAAGCAUAGGUAUCAUUCACCAAGUACCUAUUUAAAGGGUAUUUUGGUCUUUGUAAAAUAUGAGAAGUUAAUAUACGAAAGAUGCACUGUANCAUGACUUUAAUAAGAUGCCAAGAAGAAAAAUUAUUGGUAGAACUCCAACAAAUUACAGUAUUUUGAUGCGCACAGAAUCUUUUACUGACCAUGAUUUUAUCUGUCAUUUCGACUAUGACUCGGACAAGACUUAUCUCACACUUCCAGCUAAUGAACUGGCUCUGAUACUUUUUUUUUUUUGAGAGAUAGGUAGCACGCUACCCGCUUCGUUUAUUUCAUUUAGAAAUAAACUUAGCUAGAAAUGUGAAUCAACUAGGAUUCGAACUUGGGUCUCGGGUAUCAACCACCAAGCCUUUUGCCGCUUGCUCUAGGGACGAUCGGUCUGGCUCUGAUACUAAAUGAAACGAUCCGACGCGCCAGUAAUAAUAACUCGUUAGACUCAAACCACCGGCCCAAAAUACUUAAAUUCAAUUAUUUUGUCUAGCCUAAUCAAGCUUAUAUAUCCUCACAUCCAGGCAUAAACUAUCUAAUGUGAGAUUAUUGGGGUGUCAUAGUUAGAUAUGAAAUGUAUCCUAUAUUAGUCUUUAAAAAGUAUGUAUCCUGUCUAGAAUGAAGUGUUAAACAACUUUACUUUCAUACUUUAACUAUAGCUCUCUCAAAAUAU